rnacentral:tRNA from 1 species
GGUGAAGUGGCAGAGCGGUUUAAUGCACUUGUCUUGAAAACAAGAGAGGGUGAAAGUCCUCCGUGAGUUCAAAUCUCACCUUCACCGCCA